rnacentral:tRNA from 1 species
GUCGAAGUGGCGAAAUUGGCAGACGCACCAGCUUGAGGGGCUGGCGCCCAUUAGGGCAUGGGGGUUCAAGUCCCCCCUUCGACACCA